UGAGGCGGUAGCUCAGUGGCAGAGUGGCGAGACGGUGUUGAUUUCGUGCCGUUGUUUCUCGCAGGUCACAGGUUCGAAUCCUGUCCGCUUCAU
rnacentral:tRNA from 1 species